rnacentral:lncRNA from 1 species
GUUUUUAUCAAGUUUCUUUUGGUAGUUAGUGGAAAAUGGACACAAGCGAGCCUGGAGGAAGGGACCCAACUGGGAGGGCAUUCUAGUAACCCCAAGCUUUGAAUUAGAGGACAUCACCCCACCCCCCACUAGCCCUUGCUCAGGGCUACUGGGCCCAUGAGGCACUCAUAGAGAUUUAGGAUCAUUUUAGAACUUUGUUGUUUUAGGUCCAGCUGGAAAAGAGUGGGGCUGAAGGAGAGAUGUGGACCUUGAUCACAGAGGCAGGCUUCCCAUCCACUAAGCCCACCAGCAGAUGGGACACACAGAGGUCCAAGAAUAAAGUGCAAGGUUCCUAAUUCCCUGACGUGCAUGCUGCCUCCUUCC